UAACUCCCAAGAAAUCAAAAGCUGGUGAGAGUAUGUUUAUUUAAAACAUUAUGAUGUUCAUUUCUAGAUUAACGCUCUUAUUGGGUCCUCCAAGCUCUGGCAAAACCACAUUGUUAUUAGCACUUGCUGGAUGCCUCAAAUCUGACUUGCAGACGUCAGGGAAUAUUACUUACAAUGGACAUGGUCUGAAAGAGUUUUUCCUCAAAAGACAUCCCCUUAUGUCAGUCAACAAGAUUGGCAUAUAACAGAGAUGACUGUAAGGGAAACUAUGGACUUCUCAGCAUAUUGUCAGGGUGUUGGAUCAAAAUAUGAUAUGCUAUUGGAACUUUCAAGAAGAGAAAAGAUGGCAGGAAUAAAACCUGAUGAAGAUCUUGACCUAUUCAUAAAGGCAUAAGCUUUGGAGGGGAACGAGACUGCACUUGUUGUUGAGUACAUUCUAAAGGUUAGAGUCUAUGACUCAUUCAUAUAUAGUUGUAGAAAGAGAAGGUGGCAGUCCUGCAAGAUUAGGAGGGUAACAUGGCAGUCUUAUUUACUGCGCCCUUCUUAUUGAUAUCCAUAAGAAGAACACUUUCUUUCACGCAUUUGGUACAAAUACAAUCCACUAAUGUCUCUCAACUCGCGAUCGGAAUCUGGUAUUAGAAAAGCAUUGGAGCACUUUUG